AUGGCAGAGGCAACAAGACCUAACAAGGCUCUGACAGAGGAAGCUAAUAACAGAAAAGGAGAGAGUGGGACAAGGACUCUGCGAUUGAAAUCGAUCACGGAUGCCGUCGUCUCUCUGACAAAAAUAAAACUAAAAAGUCGUGCACAGCACCCAUUCGGUCUGACUGAAAGGACUGCCUGUUUAUUACAGGCCUGUGACAGCCACAGGUAAUUUCUCGACAGGUGGCGAGACCAGGCUGCAUCACGCAGUUAAAGUGGCCGAUAAGAUCAUCAAGUGUUUAAAUGGCUGAUCUGACUCACAUUUUCAAAGGCACUGGAGUCCACUCCAUCCUCUGUAAGGACGGACAUUCAGAGGUUUGGUCAGCUCAUGACUGCCAUAUAAGAUUGUUGGUGACGUGCCAUAAUUUCCUCCAGUUAAAGAGAAAAAAAAUGGGCCUCAUGCAAGAAGCACUCGUACGAACAUAUUUGUUCUGAAGUGUUUUGUACGAUGGAUUUAGGAGAACUUGCUGCAUUCACCUCUUUUUUUUUCUCUCAGGAACAAACACGAUUUACGAGGUCCAGACCCGGUCUGAUUAAUCUGCUGUAAUUCAAACGCAUGUUUUUCAGUAAAGGAUUGUUUGUUCCAUUACUAUAAAGAGUUUUCUAUGUAAAUUACACUUCAUAAUUAGUUGACAUCAUCCUGUUUGACUGUACAGUUCAGAUAAUAUAGUUCUAAAUGUCUCAUAUGUCUUAUUAUCAAUUUAAGUUGGCUAUUGAUUAGACAUCUCUUCACAUUAAGGUGUUUGAAGGUUGCUGUCCUCUACGUCAACAACAUCCUCUAUUGCAAUUACAUCAUAUAACCUAUUACACUUGGUUCAAACUGCCUGCCUAACACAGUACAGUACAAUAUGAAUGGAUUCUGUUCACAGAAAGUUAAGAGCGUGUGCUGGCACACUCAUACAAGCCCACCAUGCGAAAACAAUUAAUAGAGUGUUAAGAUAAUAGGAAAGGUUUUUGCAUGAGGCUCAUUGUGUUUGGAUUGAAGAACAAUUAAAAGUCAGUGCUCACCUCCAAUAAAGACCACAAACCAGACCAGAAAUCUUGGUGUAGUCCUGAACUCAGACCUGGAUUUUAACAGCCACAUUAAGACAGAAUCAACCUUCUGUCAUCUUAAGAAUACGUCAAGAGUUAAAAGACAUAUCUCAGGAGGAUUUAGAAAGGUCCAUGUGUUUAUUUUCAGGAGGCUCGACUACUCACUAAGACCAGGAGAGACCAUUUCAGAUCUUAACACUUAGACUCUUUGUCAAAGAAUCCAUUUUAAAAUCCUACUGUUGGUUUAUGAAGCACUGAAUGGUUUAUUUCUGAUCUCCAACUCUCAGUUCUUUUAAAUCAAUGUUUGCUAUUUGCUACUGAAAUUCUACUGUUUGUUUUGUGGUAUUGUAGUUUAGCUUAUUGUUAUGUUCUAUUUUAUUUCCUCUCACUCUUUAAAAUCAUCUUUGUGUCAUUUUAUAUUGCCUAGCGUUUCUUAAAGCCUUUAUGUCUUAUGUGAAGCACACUUUGAACUGCCUUGUUGUUGAAAGGUGCUAUACAAAUACACCUCCCUAUCUUGUUCGGGUCUGUGUGUGCUUCAUUUGACUGCAACACAAGUUUGAAGUUGAAAAAAACUGGACGUGAAGGAAAUCAGUCGAGGCAGAUUUGAGAGACAAUGACUUCCUCAAGUGUAGAUAACAACACUUGAUCACAAAAUAAGCUCCACAGAUCGAUGGUAUAGACUUAUUUUCUCUUUUAACAGCUCUCUUGACCUCAUCUGAAAGUGAAAUCAUUCUGAGGAGCGAAGCAGAUCACCAGCUGCUCGAUUGCCCGGCCCUGGCACCCGGGCGCCUUUCAUCUCUGACUUCACACACAUAUUAAUCCGAAUAAAGUAAUGACCAGAAUAAUUAUCAUUGACUCCCGCUGUAAUUUAAUGAAGCAGCGAAUUGUAGACGGAUCAGAUCAUCGAUUCGCUGGAACAUCCGUCGGCUGUGCGAGCGUCUGCUGAAGGUGUGUGGAGAGACGAUGCUAAUGAGCUAUCCGGCUGUAAGGCUAAAUGUGACUCAGACAGGCUCAUCACACCCUGCUCUACAUAACCUUUGUUCUCUUCUGUAGCUGUUUAUUGUAUUCCUAUAAUAUUUGAAAUAAAGUUUGGAUUUUACAGUAUGCACAGACAAUAAUAAUACAGCUUUGUUGUUGGUAGGGUAUUAUUACAGUAUUACAUCAAACAUCAGCUCUAUCCUGCAGUUGCGAUUUCAUCAUACAUAUUUCCACUAUCCUCCCUUACAUCCCUAACAAAGACACACAUCAUUAAAGUCCUAUAUCAUAGCAUCCAACCAUAGCGAAAACAACAGCAGCUGACAUUGUAAG
rnacentral:lncRNA from 15 species